rnacentral:lncRNA from 1 species
CUCAUUAACUUUCCCACUAACCUUCCGUGAAGGGUGCUGUUCACUGCCCAUCCUCUAGAGGAGGAAGCUCAAGGUCAGAGCAGUUCAGUAGCCUCAAGCAGACUGGACUUCAGCUCUUGCUCCUUCCUCUAAGGGCUGGCCUUCCUGGGGCCUCACAACCUACCACUACCCCAAAUUUGCUACCCUGAAGUUCCCCGUUUCCUACGGCCUGUGCUUUUCUCUAAAGCAAUGUGUAAACAGAUUGCCACACCCUGGCCCCACUAGCUCUGAGACAGUGGGAGCUCUUCCAUUUGCUGGGCAUUUGCAGAGAACAUGCAGUGUCUUUCUGGAGCAGGGAUCUGGUUGGAUCUCCAGGCUGUGUGGAGACACACAAGGCGAUGCCAUCGUCCUGCUCCUUCUGAAUGCAGAGUGCCUGCUAGCAAUCGUCCUGGGAGCCAGAGUGCAGCCAGGGGCACAUGAGUGCUCCCAGAUGUGUGCUUGUGCCGGCUCCUACCUGGAUUCCCCGUGAGAGGAGGGCUGGAGGUAAUCCAGGGAUCUGUUUCAACAGAGAGGGCUUCUGUGCUGAGCUUCUCGCCCUGGAGACCAGGCUCAACUCUCCAGUCUGUUUCAUCAUUUCCCUCUACCCUUCCAGGUGGGCAAGGUGGGAACUAUUAUCCAAAUUCCUCAUCUUUUUUACGGAUGAAAAAACUUACAGCUAGAAAGGAGAGGUGACUUGCUCAAGGUGCAACUAAGGAGUGCAACACUCAACCCUGCGCCUGUCUGGCUUCAAGGCACACAGUCUCUGCUAGCUGCUUAAAUGUUUCCUCGUGAGAAUUUCCAAGGCUCCUGGGCACAUCUGCAGGGACAAUAACCCUGUGCUUUAUGCUGGC